GCUGUGCCUGCGCAGCCCCCCGGCUUCUCCGGUUUCUCUUAGAAAAUCCCCAAGUGCAUCUCAGCUGGGUGACAAUGAGAGCGUCCAGGCCUGCGGAACAGCGAAAGCUUCUAACUCCAUUCAGGUCCCGCCAGCUCCAGCUUUUCCUGCCGGGGCCUCUGCAGGUCAACAACCAUACGGUCUGGAAAUACAGUUGGCCCUUGAACAACACGGGUUUGAACUGCACAGGCCCAGUUACGUGUGGUUUCUCCUCCGCCUCUGCCGCCCAAGACAGCCCGACCACCCUCCUCCUCCUCCGCCUCAGCCUGCUCAGCAUGGAGACGACGGGGAUGAAGACCUUCCUGAGGCUCCACUUCCACUUAAUGGAUAGUAAAUAUAUUUUCUUUUCCUUA